GAUGAACGCUAGCGGCAGGCCUAAUACAUGCAAGUCGAGGGGUAGAAGAGGCUUGCUUCUUUGAGACCGGCGCACGGGUGCGUAACGCGUAUGCAACCUACCUUCAUCUGGGGGAUAGCCCGGAGAAAUCCGGAUUAAUACCGCAUAAAAUCACAGGAUGGCAUUAUCCAAUGCUCAAACAUUUAUGGGAUGGAGAUGGGCAUGCGUGUCAUUAGCUAGUGGGCGGGGUAACGGCCCACCACGGGGACGAUGACUAGGGGAUCUGAGAGGAUGGGCCGAAACACUGGUACUGAGACACGGACCAGAAUCCUACGGGAGGCAGCAGUAAGGAAUAAUGGUAAAUGGAGGCAACUCUGAACCAGCCAUGCCGCGUGCAGGAAGACUGCCCUAUGGGUUGGAAACUGCUUUUAUUCGGGAAUAAACCUUAUUACGUGUAAUAAGCUGAAUGUACCGAAGGAAUAAGGAUCGGCUAACUCCGUGCCAGCCGCCGCCGUAA
rnacentral:rRNA from 1 species